CAUCAAUAUGUUGAAGUAAAAGUAGCCAAAGUAUCAGGAGCCGGUCUUUUAGUAAAGCUCUGAGGAGGAGGCUUGGAACCUUAACGUCUUGGUAAAGGCCUUGGAUACAGUUUAGUAAUGAAUGAUCUGCAGAUAUCACUGACCCUUUUUUCUUUCUUUUUUUUUUAAAUCUAAUUUUUCUUUUUUGCAUAUUUGCACCUGGCAAUGUGAUAUGGUUUGAAAUAAUGCAUGAUGCUACUGUAAUAUUCUUAAAGAGAAACUACAUGUAUAA